AGAGUUUGAUCCUGGCUCAGGAUGAACGCUAGCUACAGGCUUAACACAUGCAAGUCGAGGGGAAACGAUAUUGGAAGCUUGCCUCCGAUAGGCGUCGACCGGCGCACGGGUGAGUAACGCGUAUCCAACCUGCCCAUCACUUGGGGAUAACCUUGCGAAGGUAAGACUAAUACCCAAUGACGUCUUUAGAAGACAUCUGAAGGAGAUUAAAGAUUUAUCGGUGAUGGAUGGGGAUGCGUCUGAUUAGCUUGUUGGCGGGGUAACGGCCCACCAAGGCAACGAUCAGUAGGGGUUCUGAGAGGAAGGUCCCCCACAUUGGAACUGAGACACGGUCCAAACUCCUACGGGAGGCAGCAGUGAGGAAUAUUGGUCAAUGGGCGAGAGCCUGAACCAGCCAAGUAGCGUGCAGGAAGACGGCCCUAUGGGUUGUAAACUGCUUUUAUAAGGGAAUAAAGUGAGUCUCGUGAGACUUUUUGCAUGUACCUUAUGAAUAAGGACCGGCUAAUUCCGUGCCAGCAGCCGCGGUAAUAUGGAAGGUCCGGGCGUUAUCCGGAUUUAUUGGGUUUAAAGGGAGCGUAGGCCGGAGAUUAAGCGUGUUGUGAAAUGUAGACGCUCAACGUCUGCACUGCAGCGCGAACUGGUUUCCUUGAGUACGCACAAAGUGGGCGGAAUUCGUGGUGUAGCGGUGAAAUGCUUAGAUAUCACGAAGAACUCCGAUUGCGAAGGCAGCUCACUGGAGCGCAACUGACGCUGAAGCUCGAAAGUGCGGGUAUCGAACAGGAUUAGAUACCCUGGUAGUCCGCACGGUAAACGAUGGAUGCCCGCUGUUGGUCUGAACAGGUCAGCGGCCAAGCGAAAGCAUUAAGCAUCCCACCUGGGGAGUACGCCGGCAACGGUGAAACUCAAAGGAAUUGACGGGGGCCCGCACAGGCGGAGGAACAUGUGGUUUAAUUCGAUGAUACGCGAGGAACCUUACCCGGGCUUGAAUUGCAGAGGAAGGAUUUGGAGACAAUGACGCCCUUCGGGGUCUCUGUGAAGGUGCUGCAUGGUUGUCGUCAGCUCGUGCCGUGAGGUGUCGGCUUAAGUGCCAUAACGAGCGCAACCCCUCUCCUUAGUUGCCAUCAGGUUAAGCUGGGCACUCUGGGGACACUGCCACCGUAAGGUGUGAGGAAGGUGGGGAUGACGUCAAAUCAGCACGGCC
rnacentral:rRNA from 1 species